GGAGGAACGUUUCGUCCGAACAGAUAGAGACGGAUAGACGAAGAGAGGGAGGCGGGGCAGAGGUGUAGAGUAUCCAAUCGGUCAAGAUAGGUCUUCCAGUCGACAAGGUGGCAGCGAAUUCAGUUAGUGCCCCGCCAGUUGGAUUGGACCAUCAGUUUAGACAAUGGGACCUGCUCGUGCGUUUAAGUGUUUCAGAUCCCAUCACUAGGCGUCUCCAACUGCAUGAUGCAUUUGUGUCUGAGACCGUGAAACGAUUUAUCGUAUCUUCUUCAACACGAACACGAGUGGAAAUUCACGAGCAAUCACGUCGGAAGUGAAACGAAAAGUUUUGACUACUUAAAAUAUCGAGUAUUCUGUUGAGUUCUCAAAGUGACGGAGAGUGAUUACGUUAAUGACAUGGCGAAGUAUGCUUUAACGACGGG
rnacentral:misc_RNA from 1 species